UCGUUGUAUUUUAGCGAGUAGAUCAGCUUAAUAAAUCGGUCUCCAGUGAACCAAAGUUGUGCAUCAGUAACUCUGAAAAAAGAGGCUUCAAAAGAUUUUCUUUUCGAUGGUUAGUUUCGAUAUUUUGACAGCCAAGAAGAACAAUACUUUGAGGUAGAAGUGACAAUAUUUAUCUGGAAUUGAUAUAAGUUUUCAAACUGAGAAUACAAUACUGAAGGAUCAUCCCAUCGGAAAUUGAAUAAAUCAAUUAAUUUUGCAGUUUGAGGAACAUCAUCUUUCUUAUAGCUGGUUCCGCUUCGAAACCAUUAGAAGGUAAUCACGCCUGGUUUGGUAGAUUCAGACGAGCGGGACAACAAAGGCAGUACCAAAAGUGCCUGUGUCGCAGACGGCAUUGUAUAGUUUGCCUGAUCAGCAGGCAUAUAACCGAGAGGAGACUCUUUCUUCUCUGGCAUAAGUACAAUCUCUCUGCAAAACCAGAAUUGAUUUCCUGAGCGGGUUCCAGUUGGACGACUAGUUACAUACAAAAAAUCAAUGUCCAUCACAGAUUUUAUUUCAUAUUCCUCUAACAACUUCUAUCGUACGUGCGGAACACAUUUAUACAAUGUUACGCUUCAUUCUGUCCAUCAUUAUCUGUUUGAGGAUCAUCGGAGUCACCACUUCUGUCAUCAUCUUUCCUCUCAUCACCACCAUAGAGACGAAACAUCCUAUAGUCAACGAGACAAUGUAUGCCGCAUAUCCGAACCUCUGGCUGUUGGAUAUGAGCAACCAAACGAGAUUUGAAUUCCCAGUUGACCAGGUUCUGCUGAUACACGACUACCUCACACGUUAUGUAUGCAACAAUUGUGGGAUACAUUCCAUCUACCAGAUAUCCUUGUCGCAGCUACCAGAACUUACUUAUCUUAUUGUAAAUAAUAACACCCUCCAGUACAUACAUCCAGAUGCAUUCGAGUACAAUACGCUAUUGGAAAAGGUCAGUUUUGUUGGCAACCAACUUUCCACAUUCAAUCCGGAAGCCACAAUUCGGCACAUGGCUGCGCUAAACAUACUGUAUCUAAGCAGCAACGAGCAAUUUGAUUUGAACAAGGUGGACCUGCAAUCUCCAAGAUUGAUGAUAUUCAUUUGCAAUUACUGCCACACUACCUUUCUCGUUCAGGAAACACUGACCAACAUGCCAAGACUUUCCGUGCUGUAUCUGUCGUACAACGUAAUAGACAGGAUCGACGAUGAUGCUUUGAUGCCGGCUAAAAAAAUUACGAGGUUGACAAUCAACGGUAAUAAACCCUUGCAACGAUUGAAUCUUACAUCGAAAUCACUGAAAGUGCUCAAUGCUGCAGAAUGUAGUUUGCAUGGCACGCUGGAUACAUCUCACUUACCGAUGCUGGAAUCUGUCAACGUGAGAAAUAAUAGGAUUGCUCGGAUAAAUGAGGAUGGAUUUCAGCAGAAUCCAGAUAUAAAAAUUAUCUUGCUGGACGAUAAUUCAAUCGAAAAGGUCCCCACAAUACUACUAGGACUUCCUAUGAACAGGUUGGAGCAGCUAUGCAUGGACAGGAAUCCACUUCAACCGUGUGAUCAAACUGAUUAUGCAAAGGAGCUGUACGAAAUAAGAGGACUCCGCCGAAGUUGUUUGGAUGAUAGUAAUCCUUUGUAUGAGUUUGAAAACUAUCUACCGAUUAAUACUGGAAAAGCGGUAUAUAAGAAAACUCCCAUCCAUCUUCGUAGUAGUGAUGGAUUAACAGUAGACCUUUCGAAUAGAGAAAUUGUAUACAUAGAACCAGAUUACCUAGUAGAUGAUAGAAAUGUGACGAAUGUUUUAUUUGACGAUAACCGUUCGUUUGAGUUUCAACAGGAUACGAUAUUUCUUAAAAGUUCUUCUGUUGAACUAAUAUCUUUAAAGAAUUGUUCAAUCACAACAUUAUACGAGGCUACAUUCAAAGAACUACCAAAUCUAAAAACCCUGCAUCUGCAGGGCAACCAAGUUCAAUCCAUUCAUUCCCAUUUAUUGUUCAAAAAUAACCCAACCUUAACAUUUCUGAGCCUCUCACACAACAAUCUUGAAUUGAUCGUUGCAAAUGCAUUCCAAACCCAUUCCCAGUUAGAAAUCCUUAACUUAGACUGGAACGAUCGUCUAUCAAACAGCGCCCAUGGUCCGUUCCUUCUGAGCACAUCACUAAGGAAGCUCAGCUGCACACACUGCCGGUUUGUACGGCUUGACAAUAUGGCCCUGACAGGAUUACCAAAUCUGAUAGAACUAAACCUAGAACACAAUCAUAUAGAACUAUUGGAAGCUGAUGCCCUUCGGUGGACCACUGAACUAAAGUACCUUAAUCUACGACAUAACCGGCUGGUGGUUUUUAAACCGAACGUCAACCAGCUAAACCAUAUGAAGACACUUUGUCUAGCUGGUAAUCCACAGUUUGACUUGGAACAAUUGCUGUUGCAUGACAUUCCGAAGAUUAAGCAGCUGAACAAAGAUUGCCAAGACGAACAAUUUUCCAACAACUUGGUCGAACGGUACAAAUUAAUAAAAGAAGCAAAACAUGGAACCAUGGAGUUGCUACAAAAUAAACUUGUACCAUUAAUGUACGUUGAAACAUCAUCUACCGUGUCUUUAACGGCAGAUGUGAGUAUUAUUUUACUGAUGGCCUGUAGCUUGGUCACUUAUCAAGUAUUAUUUUUUAGUCAUAAUUUGUUUUGUCAUCUAUUUUUGAAUUUCAAUAAUACACACUUAGAAAAACUCAUGUAAAUUUAGGUGCUCUGAGAGUGACGAAUACGAGCGUCAAUUUUGACCUAAAUUUGCGGCAUAAAUGAUAUUUGUAUUUGUAAUGGCGAACGUUAUAGUUUAUUUCACAGUGCUGUGAUACAUUGGAUAAAUUAAGUGUGAAAUUGUUCUUGUGCCGCGGUAGAAUUAAUCCUACGCGUGCCCCGUAGUGAUAAUUUAUUGGGUAAGAAGGAGAACGGUUGCUGCUGCCGCUGGUUCUCGUUCAAUUUGUGUUUUUUUCCUUCGCCCGGCAAGCUAUUGGUACCGUUUAGCAAGCUACGGCAUUGUAAAUUUCUGCUUUCUUUCGUGUUUACUUGUGUCUCUGUAGUGUUGCAUGUAAAGUUUAUGUGUAUAGGUUAUAUAUACACGGGAAAUAAUCCGAUUCCAUUUUCAUGAAUAAAAAAUCAUGAAAUCCAAAAUUUUGCCAUCCCAUGAAAUCAUAGCAAUAAUUCAUAAUUUCGUUAUGGAAAUAUGGCUGAGUGUGCAAUGUGUAAUUUGGGGAUUUUGGUAAGUAAUUUGCCGUUUUUCAAGAAAAUGCGAGUUUUGCGGAUGUUUUAAAAAGACAUAGUCGUGCAAGUAAAAGUAAAAAUAUUAGUAACAGUAACAGUAACAAACAGAUUAAUCGUAAGACUCGUCCGGUCAUUGUGUUAAACCAAAAGAGUCCAAACAAGCUUGGGAAGAUACUCGUAAGUUUUUGAAAACACAGUUAGAUCCAAAAACACACAAAAUUAGUAAUUACAGGAAUGGUAAAGAUGGCUCCAUGAUUGUUGAGUGUGCAACAGGAGCUAAUCUAAAUUAUGUGAAAAUAGUAUUGAAAGCAAUCUUGGUGAAAAAUAUAGUGCUGUUGUUCCCACAUCGGUGCCAAGAUUGAAAAUAGUAGGCAUGAGCGAUCAGUUUUCCUCCGAUGUCUUCAUUGACUACUUAAAAAGUCAAAAUGAAGACAUCGCUAUUAAUGAUUUAAAAGUAGAACAUGUUUGAAAAUCAACGUUUCACUUAAAACAAGUUUAGUGUUUUAAUUGAAGUCAUAUAGUCGAUACGUAUAAAUGUUUGUUAUUUGCGAAACAAGUAAAUGUUGGUGUCGUGACUGAACCGGUGCUCGAUAGUGCCAGCGAUUAAUGUGUUGAGAUGCUUCAAAUGUGGAGAAUUUUGGCACAAGAGCAUGGAUUGCAAAAAAAUUGUGAUAGAUGCUCUAGGUGCAGCCAACAACACAAAACGUCGGAGUGUACGUCAACUGUAUUGAAAUGUAUUAAUUGUUUGAAAAUGAAUUAAAAACGCAAAAUGAACUUGGACGUCAACCAUGCCGCAUUUAGCUCGGAAUGUUUGCUCUAUAAACGACUUUUUGAUCAGAAGAAAAGCAGCUUGCGUUUCAAUAAAUAGCAGCCAAGGAAUGUGAAUCAAUUCGAUUUUUUGUAUUUGAAUAUUACGGUAUCGUCAACAAACUACGUGGCAUUACGUCAGAUUGUUGAGGAAAAACGUCCUCUUUAAGUUUUCUUAUCUGAAACUCACAUUGUAGAAACUGAAGCUUUUGAUCAAUAUAGUAUUCCGGGAUAUAUUGUUGCUGCUUGUUUAUCACAUUCUAGACACACUGGCGGUGUUGCUAUUUAUGUCAAAGAAUCAGUUCAAUUCAGCCUUCGUACCAACGAAGUUAUUGAUGGCAACUGGUGCUUGGGCAUUACAUUUGUACGUGGCAUGAAGAUGGGUAAUUAUGGUGUUUUGUAUCAUUCUCCCAGUUUUAGUGACCCAGCGUUUUGUUGAAGUUUUAGAGAACUGGCUCGAGACAUUCCUUGAUUCUAGUAAAUUAAAUAUACUGGCUGUUGAUUUAAAUAUUAAUUGGCGUGAAAACCAUAAUUCGAAUCAUUUGAAGCGUUUAGCUAAGUUUUUUUUUUUUUAUUUAAAGCAAACGGUAAAUGAAUAUUCGCGUAUUUCCAGGCACAGUAGAUCUUUAAUUGACCACGUUUAUUCCAAUUUUGAUUCCAUUUGUUCAGUUACGGAUACUGAUUUGAAAAUAACCGAUCAUGAGACCUUAGUGAUUAAUGUAUAAGAUAAUAUAAAUAACAACGAUGAUUUUUUUUUCUUCUGUUCGGGACAUAAAACUACUGCGACCAGAAAAUUUGAUCUAUUGUAGUAUAUCCCGUGUCCUUAGUUUAGUGCAUGCCGUAUUACUUCAUCACUAUUUAGAAAUGAUGAAGUAUUCGGUUUUGAAACAGUUGUCAUUCUUACCUUUAUUACAAGGAAUCGAUUCUAAUUGAAAGGUCCUACCAUUGAUACCCUUGGGAGUAUUGGUACACCCUCCAAAGGCGCGCCUCUUUGUCAGUCAAAAUUGGAUUCCUUAGCAACAAAAUUAAAGAAUGACACCGAUAGUGACCAUGCAUAAGAACCCUAGUCAACGAUGAAUUAGUCAAAUUGAAGUGCUGGAGGAAAUAUUCGAAACAGGCUAUUUCGAAUCUCGUUGAGAAGAGCGUGGAUUUUCCAUUCGCGGCCGGUACAAAAAGUUUUGUAGAUCUAAUAAUGACAAUCAUUGGAAUAUGUACACAAUCGCGCGUAAUAAGUAUUCACAAUCGAUAAAGAAAACUCGCUGUGAAUAUGUUCAAAGGAAGACUGAUCAGCAUCAAAACAACUUGGGAGAACACAAGAUGACACUAACUUCUAAAUCCUCAAAUCUAUCCGUUUUAAAAACACAUAAAUUAAAUUCAAAUAGUCAAGGUCUCGGCUCGCCAAGACAUCUCUAACGGGUAUCGCGGGUUGUUUUCCUCGGGCCCUGAGGGAUGUGGAUAACUCAGAUCUGGCAACACGGUGUAAGGUACACGACCAAACAACAUGCUCGAUAUCGUGAUAACCACUGCCACACGCACAUAAAUUGCUGUCUGAGAGCCCAAUUCGAUAGAAGUGCGAGUCUAACGAGCAGUGAUUGGACAUAAGCCUUGAUAUAACGCGUAUAAAGUCGCGGCUCAUGUCCAACCCUUUGAACCAUGGUUUGUUCGACACCUGUGGGAGAAUAGAAUGUAACCAUCUUCCCAAUUCACCAUCAUUCCAUUUUUGUUGCCAACUGAUGUGGACUUGCUGGCGAGCAAUGGAGAAAAAUUCGUUGAAGGCGAUUUGUCGAUCAAAAAUAUCGCCUUCCAUAGCGCCCACCUUAGCUAGCGAGUCCGCUUUCUCAUUACCCGGAAUUGAGCAAUGAGAUGGGACCCAAACUAAGGUGAUAGUAUAGGAGCAGUUAGAUAAAGCACUCAGUUUAGAUCGUAUUUCAGGCAGGAAAUACGAGGAGUGCUUCAUCGGCCUCAUUGAACGAAUAGCCUCCAAUGAGCUAAGACUAUCCGUGAAAAUGAAAUAAUGGUCAGAAGGUAGUGAGGCAAUUCGCUCUACUGCGUAAAAUAUAGCUGCGAGUUCCGCAAGGUAUACGGAGCAUGGUUUCUGCAGUUUAUAGGAGGCGCUAUGAAAUUGAUUAAAUACACCAAAUC